rnacentral:rRNA from 1 species
GGUAUCCUACGGGAGGCAGCAGUGAGGAGUAUUGGUCAAUGGCCGCAGGGCUGAACCAGCCAAGUCGCGUGAGGGAUGACGGUCCUAUGGAUUGUAAACCUCUUUUGUCAGGGAGCAAAGGGCGCCACGUGUGGCGCUUUGCGAGUACCUGAAGAAAAAGCAUCGGCUAACUCCGUGCCAGCAGCCGCGGUAAUACGUAGGGGGCAAGCGUUAUCCGGAUUUACUGGGUGUAAAGGGAGCGUAGACGGCUAAUCAAGUCAGAAGUGAAAACCCAGGGCUCAACCUUGGGAGUGCUUUUGAAACUG